rnacentral:rRNA from 1 species
GUGUCAGCAGCCGCGGUAAGACAGAGGGUGCAAACGUUGUUCGGAAUUACUGGGCGUAAAGCGCGUGUAGGCUGCUUCGAAAGUCGGAUGUGAAAGCCCUGGGCUCAACCUAGGAAGUGCAUUCGAAACUUCGAAGCUGGAGUCCUGGAGAGGAAGGCGGAAUUCUCGGUGUAGAGGUGAAAUUCGUAGAUAUCGAGAGGAACACCGGUGGCGAAGGCGGCCUUCUGGACAGUGACUGACGCUGAGACGCGAAAGCGUGGGGAGCAAACAGGAUUAGAUACCCCGGUAGUCC